CCAAUUUCCCGUCGAGUGGAAAACCACCCAUUCUAAAAAAGAGUUCCUACUGUUGAAAGAGAAAUAAUAAAGUCGGCUACGAGAAUGGAAAUCAAGAUCUUUCCAGUGCUCUUGUGUGCCUUGAUUAUUCUUUGGACAACUACAGAAGUUAACGGAUACACCGCUCCGUGGACUCAUGGGAGCGGUGGCGAGAACACGGGUAGGAGGAAGAAAACUGAAAUUUGGGCGAAAAGCAAGAUUGCAAGAGCACCAGGGACUAAAACCGACUUGUGUUUGACUGCAAAGAUGCUUGGCUGUUACAAGGAAUU